rnacentral:rRNA from 1 species
GACGAACGCUGGCGGCGUGCUUAACACAUGCAAGUCGAACGGAAAGGCCCUGCUUUUGUGGGGUGCUCGAGUGGCGAACGGGUGAGUAACACGUGAGUAACCUGCCCUUGACUUUGGGAUAACUUCAGGAAACUGGGGCUAAUACCGGAUAGGAGCUCCUGCUGCAUGGUGGGGGUUGGAAAGUUUCGGCGGUUGGGGAUGGACUCGCGGCUUAUCAGCUUGUUGGUGGGGUAGUGGCUUACCAAGGCUUUGACGGGUAGCCGGCCUGAGAGGGUGACCGGCCACAUUGGGACUGAGAUACGGCCCAGACUCCUACGGGAGGCAGCAGUGGGGAAUAUUGCACAAUGGGCGGAAGCCUGAUGCAGCAACGCCGCGUGCGGGAUGACGGCCUUCGGGUUGUAAACCGCUUUCGCCUGUGACGAAGCGUGAGUGACGGUAAUGGGUAAAGAGGCACCGGCUAACUACGUGCCAGCAGCCGCGGUGAUACGUAGGGUGCGAGCGUUGUCCGGAUUUAUUGGGCGUAAAGGGCUCGUAGGUGGUUGAUCGCGUCGGAAGUGUAAUCUUGGGGCUUAACCCUGAGCGUGCUUUCGAUACGGGUUGACUUGAGGAAGGUAGGGGAGAAUGGAAUUCCUGGUGGAGCGGUGGAAUGCGCAGAUAUCAGGAGGAACACCAGUGGCGAAGGCGGUUCUCUGGGCCUUUCCUGACGCUGAGGAGCGAAAGCGUGGGGAGCGAACAGGCUUAGAUACCCUGGUAGUCCACGCUGUAAACGGUGGGUACUAGGUGUGGGGUCCAUUCCACGGGUUCCGUGCCGUAGCUAACGCUUUAAGUACCCCGCCUGGGGAGUACGGCCGCAAGGCUAAAACUCAAAGGAAUUGACGGGGCCCCGCACAAGCGGCGGAGCAUGCGGAUUAAUUCGAUGCAACGCGUAGAACCUUACCUGGGUUUGACAUGGAUCGGGAGUGCUCAGAGAUGGGUGUGCCUCUUUUGGGGUCGGUUCACAGGUGGUGCAUGGCUGUCGUCAGCUCGUGUCGUGAGAUGUUGGGUUAAGUCCCGCAACGAGCGCAACCCUUGUUCACUGUUGCCAGCACGUUAUGGUGGGGACUCAGUGGAGACCGCCGGGGUCAACUCGGAGGAAGGUGGGGAUGACGUCAAGUCAUCAUGCCCCUUAUGUCCAGGGCUUCACGCAUGCUACAAUGGCUGGUACAGAGAGUGGCGAGCCUGUGAGGGUGAGCGAAUCUCGGAAAGUCGGUCCCAGUUCGGAUUGGGGUCUGCAACCCGACCUCAUGAAGUCGGAGCCGCUAGUAAUCGCAGAUCAGCAACGCUGCGGUGAAUACGUUCCCGGGGCU